UUACAGGCAUGAGCCACCGCACCUGGCCUGAAUUUACUCUCAAUGCCUCUGUUCUUUGAGCUCUGGCAGGGAAGAAGUGCCUGGAUCCCUUGAGUUUGACUCUAAGUGUGACCUAUGGAACGGCAGUGACUUUUGCUGAAGCAACUGUGGGGAGAAGCCACUCUGAGCUGACUCUGUCCAACCCAGGAAUGCCGUGGUCUGAGAACAGCCUCCCAGGCAGGAGGGAAACCCAACAAACACAGGCUUUGUUCCUGCUACGAAGUUGCCCAGUUUAGAUUCCUCUUUCCCGGCUCCCCUGCCCAACUGGUUUAACCUUUCCCUAGCCCAGCAGUCGGUGCCUCCAGGCCCCAGGAGGAUGAAAAGAACAUGGAGACAACGGGAGGCCCCAAAUGGAGUAGCCCUCUGCCAGCUCACAUCCCUCUUUCAGGGGCUGCAGCUUGGACAUCCCAGGACUGGCCAGAUGAGGAAAUGAGGCUAAAUAGGGGACUCAGGGCCCUGCAACUAGUGAGUGGCAGAGCCAGCCAUCUUCCAACUCCAACCUGCCCUUUCUACCAGACCACAGGAGGUGAGGAGGGCUCCCCGUUACCUUGGGAAGUCCGACUUCCGCCCCAGCUGUCCUCUGCCCCAGGGAAAGCAGAGGUGGUGAGUCAGCCCCUGCCCCACCCCAGAAGCUGUUAUCUGGGAAGAGAGUGGAGGAGCUGGUCAAAUAUCCCGCUGGUAUCCACAACAAGCCAUAAGCCCUGGGUAUGCUGAGUUGCUCGGUCACUUCAGUUCCUGGUGCUGACGCUCGGGCCCUUCUCAGUGGAACUGCCUUGUAACCGCUCCACCCUGUACUUUCAUCACACACACACACACACACACACACACACACACACACACACACA